rnacentral:lncRNA from 1 species
CCCUUCCCUUUGCUGGGUCCUCGGGCUGCCUCUACUGUCCCUAACUACCAGCAUCUUUUCAGCUUCUAGAUUGUUACUUUGAAGCCUACCAACAUGCUUUGGACCCCGAGGAGAGGUUUGCCUUAGCACAAGUGAUAACUGACAUUAUGCACCAACGCCCCAAAUUCGAUCUAGACCACCCUUAUUUCAUUAAGGCCUACAAAGAAGAGUGCGUCUGCCUGAGGCUUCACCUGCAGCUAGUGAGGAGCAUCCUCAACCAACAAAUAGAGAAUCAGACAGAAUACGUCCAGAGGCUUUGGAGAGACGAUCACCCAGAUGUUCAGAAUACAUUCGGAAUACCCCUUAACAUAGUUUGUCAGCAACCAAAUUCUAUCAGUAACAUCUGCUGUUUUCAGCUAAAGUGAUGGGAGACCCCUUCCUUGUGGAGGAGAUCGGCCUGCGUGCACUCGGGUCCGCCGUGGGCGAAGGGCACACCCAGGGCCACGAUGCUCGCGUCCUGCUCCUGGAGACCUUCGCCAAGCUUCUGGAACUGCUGACCCUCCGCCACCGGCUGGUGGACAUGAGCCUGGAGAGUGCACACCUAGCUCGGCUCUAUAAGAAACUGGCACAAGAGAUGGGUUUUGAAGAGUUCCACUUGUAUCUGAGACCUGUUCAGUUUGAAUUUGCAGCACAUAGAGACAAGACGGACCCAUCAGCGCCUGUCUUUAUGACUUCCCUGCUGGAGGACAGUGGACGGGUAGACAGGUGAGCUUGACAGGGUCAGAUACUCUAAGGGAAAAAAGAAGAGAAAGAAAGUUC